UAUAGGGUACUUUUUGGAAUAAAUCUGUGUUGGUAUUUCCAAGGAACCAUUUUCCUGCCCUUCCCAUUCAAACCAGGACUUGAUCUCUGGACAGUCUUUGGAACUGGAGUUCUAUGCUGUGGCUCAGGACUCAGCUGGGAUGACACCAACACCAGUUUCUUGAGCACCUGAGAUGCUUGCUGCUUCCCAGACUUUUCUGAUGGUAUUUGUUCCUGCUUCCAUAAGCAUUUAAAAACUUCUUCCUUCAAGAUCUCCUGGUCUGCUGCUUGGUUCUUUUCUGUGCUUCAGCCCUCAAAGUGACCAGAGUUUGGCUUGUGUUUCUAGCAGGGCUGGUCAAAUACCAGCACAGACCAACCUAUUCUGCAGCCAGAAUGAGCUGAAUGUGGAAAUAUCCAGAAAACAUCCAAACUGAUUGCUAUUCAUCACAUAAAUUAUGAAACCUUUCAUCAAGAACAGAGCCAGCUGUUACUGUUUUUA
rnacentral:lncRNA from 1 species